CACGGUUUUACCUUCAGUAAUCUUCAGCGCCAUGGCUCGCAUCAGAUCAUGCAUUCUGAUGCUAUCUCCAUCCCUGUGAUCGCGAGUGCUUUCUAGCAAGCACGUAUUCACUAACUUAUCCAGCAUGGAGUGACCCUCGUCUCUUCAGGAUAUAAAGCGCAAUACAGGAAGCAAAGCUGUAAGUUCGUGUAUCCAUGCCUCGUCCCUUGUUGAUGAUUCGGCAUGACUGGCCGUCUCGCCCCUCAUGCUUCCUGCUAGGGUGAUGAUCCCAAGAGGCAAGCCAUCGCACAUCUUGACCAUACACUUGGCAAUUUCCUCGACAUCAGAAGAGCCUCGAAACGAGACAAGCAUCAUCCGUGUUGAUCUUCUGUGAAAACCUUGAAUAUGAAGUCACGGAAGCGCUUGGAGUAGUGCCUAGGAUCAAUAGCCGAUAUUGACGUUGGAUCAUGCUGGAAGGACUUGUAC